rnacentral:rRNA from 1 species
UUUGGCCUACGGGGCGCAGCAGUGGGGAAUAUUGCACAAUGGGGGAAACCCUGAUGCAGCGACGCCGCGUGAGUGAAGAAGUAUUUCGGUAUGUAAAGCUCUAUCAGCAGGGAAGAAAAUGACGGUACCUGACCAAGAAGCCCCGGCUAACUACGUGCCAGCAGCCGCGGUAAUACGUAGGGGGCAAGCGUUAUCCGGAUUUACUGGGUGUAAAGGGAGCGUAGACGGCUGAGCAAGUCAGAAGUGAAAGCCCGGGGCUCAACCCCGGGACUGCUUUUGAAACUGCGGAGCUGG